rnacentral:rRNA from 1 species
GGGUUGUGAGGUUAAGCGACUAAGCGUACACGGUGGAUGCCCUGGCAGUCAGAGGCGAUGAAGGACGUGCUAAUCUGCGAUAAGCGUCGGUAAGGUGAUAUGAACCGUUAUAACCGGCGAUUUCCGAAUGGGGAAACCCAGUGUGAUUCGUCACACUAUCAUUAACUGAAUCCAUAGGUUAAUGAGGCGAACCGGGGGAACUGAAACAUCUAAGUACCCCGAGGAAAAGAAAUCAACCGAGAUUCCCCCAGUAGCGGCGAGCGAACGGGGAGCAGCCCAGAGCCUGAAUCAGUGUGUGUGUUAGUGGAAGCGUCUGGAAAGGCGCGCGAUACAGGGUGACAGCCCCGUACACAAAAAUGCACAUGCUGUGAGCUCGAUGAGUAGGGCGGGACACGUGGUAUCCUGUCUGAAUAUGGGGGGACCAUCCUCCAAGGCUAAAUACUCCUGACUGACCGAUAGUGAACCAGUACCGUGAGGGAAAGGCGAAAAGAACCCCGGCGAGGGGAGUGAAAAAGAACCUGAAACCGUGUACGUACAAGCAGUGGGAGCACGCUUAGGCGUGUGACUGCGUACCUUUUGUAUAAUGGGUCAGCGACUUAUAUUCUGUAGCAAGGUUAACCGAAUAGGGGAGCCGAAGGGAAACCGAGUCUUAACUGGGCGUUAAGUUGCAGGGUAUAGACCCGAAACCCGGUGAUCUAGCCAUGGGCAGGUUGAAGGUUGGGUAACACUAACUGGAGGACCGAACCGACUAAUGUUGAAAAAUUAGCGGAUGACUUGUGGCUGGGGGUGAAAGGCCAAUCAAACCGGGAGAUAGCUGGUUCUCCCCGAAAGCUAUUUAGGUAGCGCCUCGUGAAUUCAUCUCCGGGGGUAGAGCACUGUUUCGGCAAGGGGGUCAUCCCGACUUACCAACCCGAUGCAAACUGCGAAUACCGGAGAAUGUUAUCACGGGAGACACACGGCGGGUGCUAACGUCCGUCGUGAAGAGGGAAACAACCCAGACCGCCAGCUAAGGUCCCAAAGUCAUGGUUAAGUGGGAAACGAUGUGGGAAGGCCCAGACAGCCAGGAUGUUGGCUUAGAAGCAGCCAUCAUUUAAAGAAAGCGUAAUAGCUCACUGGUCGAGUCGGCCUGCGCGGAAGAUGUAACGGGGCUAAACCAUGCACCGAAGCUGCGGCAGCGACGCUGAUGCGUUGUUGGGUAGGGGAGCGUUCUGUAAGCCUGCGAAGGUGUGCUGUGAGGCAUGCUGGAGGUAUCAGAAGUGCGAAUGCUGACAUAAGUAACGAUAAAGCGGGUGAAAAGCCCGCUCGCCGGAAGACCAAGGGUUCCUGUCCAACGUUAAUCGGGGCAGGGUGAGUCGACCCCUAAGGCGAGGCCGAAAGGCGUAGUCGAUGGGAAACAGGUUAAUAUUCCUGUACUUGGUGUUACUGCGAAGGGGGGACGGAGAAGGCUAUGUUGGCCGGGCGACGGUUGUCCCGGUUUAAGCGUGUAGGCUGGUUUUCCAGGCAAAUCCGGAAAAUCAAGGCUGAGGCGUGAUGACGAGGCACUACGGUGCUGAAGCAACAAAUGCCCUGCUUCCAGGAAAAGCCUCUAAGCAUCAGGUAACAUCAAAUCGUACCCCAAACCGACACAGGUGGUCAGGUAGAGAAUACCAAGGCGCUUGAGAGAACUCGGGUGAAGGAACUAGGCAAAAUGGUGCCGUAACUUCGGGAGAAGGCACGCUGAUAUGUAGGUGAAGUCCCUCGCGGAUGGAGCUGAAAUCAGUCGAAGAUACCAGCUGGCUGCAACUGUUUAUUAAAAACACAGCACUGUGCAAACACGAAAGUGGACGUAUACGGUGUGACGCCUGCCCGGUGCCGGAAGGUUAAUUGAUGGGGUCAGCGCAAGCGAAGCUCUUGAUCGAAGCCCCGGUAAACGGCGGCCGUAACUAUAACGGUCCUAAGGUAGCGAAAUUCCUUGUCGGGUAAGUUCCGACCUGCACGAAUGGCGUAAUGAUGGCCAGGCUGUCUCCACCCGAGACUCAGUGAAAUUGAACUCGCUGUGAAGAUGCAGUGUACCCGCGGCAAGACGGAAAGACCCCGUGAACCUUUACUAUAGCUUGACACUGAACAUUGAGCCUUGAUGUGUAGGAUAGGUGGGAGGCUUUGAAGUGUGGACGCCAGUCUGCAUGGAGCCGACCUUGAAAUACCACCCUUUAAUGUUUGAUGUUCUAACGUUGACCCGUGAUCCGGGUUGCGGACAGUGUCUGGUGGGUAGUUUGACUGGGGCGGUCUCCUCCUAAAGAGUAACGGAGGAGCACGAAGGUUGGCUAAUCCUGGUCGGACAUCAGGAGGUUAGUGCAAUGGCAUAAGCCAGCUUGACUGCGAGCGUGACGGCGCGAGCAGGUGCGAAAGCAGGUCAUAGUGAUCCGGUGGUUCUGAAUGGAAGGGCCAUCGCUCAACGGAUAAAAGGUACUCCGGGGAUAACAGGCUGAUACCGCCCAAGAGUUCAUAUCGACGGCGGUGUUUGGCACCUCGAUGUCGGCUCAUCACAUCCUGGGGCUGAAGUAGGUCCCAAGGGUAUGGCUGUUCGCCAUUUAAAGUGGUACGCGAGCUGGGUUUAGAACGUCGUGAGACAGUUCGGUCCCUAUCUGCCGUGGGCGCUGGAGAACUGAGGGGGGCUGCUCCUAGUACGAGAGGACCGGAGUGGACGCAUCACUGGUGUUCGGGUUGUCAUGCCAAUGGCACUGCCCGGUAGCUAAAUGCGGAAGAGAUAAGUGCUGAAAGCAUCUAAGCACGAAACUUGCCCCGAGAUGAGUUCUCCCUGA